UACGUAGGGGGCAAGCGUUGUCCGGAUUUACUGGGCGUAAAGCGCACGUAGGCGGAUCGUUAAGUCGGGGGUGAAAUCCUGGAGCUCAACUCCAGAACUGCCUUCGAUACUGGCGAUCUUGAGUCCGGAAGAGGUGAGUGGAACUCCUAGUGUAGAGGUGGAAUUCGUAGAUAUUCGCAGGAACACCAGUGGCGAAGGCGGCUCACUGGUCCGAUACUGACACUGAGGCGCGACAGCGUGGGGAGCAAACAGGG
rnacentral:rRNA from 1 species